rnacentral:rRNA from 1 species
UAGCAUAUCAAUAAGCGGAGGAAAAGAAACCAACAGGGAUUCCCCUAGUAACGGCGAGUGAAGCGGGAACAGCUCAAAUUUGAAAUCUGGCCCUUGGGUCCGAGUUGUAAUUUGCAGAGGAUGCUUUUGGUGCGGUGCCUUCCGAGUUCCCUGGAACGGGACGCCUUAGAGGGUGAGAGCCCCGUACGGUUGGCCACCAAGCCUGUGUAAAGCUCCUUCGACGAGUCGAGUAGUUUGGGAAUGCUGCUCAAAAUGGGAGGUAUAUUUCUUCUAAAGCUAAAUACUGGCCAGAGACCGAUAGCGCACAAGUAGAGUGAUCGAAAGAUGAAAAGCACUUUGAAAAGAGGGUUAAAUAGCACGUGAAAUUGUUGAAAGGGAAGGAUUUAUGACCAGACUUUUUCUGGGGGGAUCAUCCGGUGUUCUCACCGGUGCACUUCCCCCAGUGGAGGCCAGCAUCGGUUUCUGCCGGGGGAUAAAAGCUUCGGGAAUGUGGCUCCUUCGGGAGUGUUAUAGCCCGUUGCAUAAUACCCUGGCGGGGACCGAGGUUCGCGCAUUGCAAGGAUGCUGGCGUAAUGGUUAUUAAUCACCCGUCUUGAAACACGGACCAAGGAGUCGAACAUUUGUGCGAGUGUUUGGGUGUUAAACCCUCACGCGUAAUGAAAGUGAACGGAGGUGAGAGCCCCUCGGGGUGCAUCAUCGACCGAUCCUGAUGUCUUCGGAUGGAUUUGAGUAAGAGCAUAACUGUUCGGACCCGAAAGAUGGUGAACUAUGCGUGGAUAGGGUGAAGCCAGAGGAAACUCUGGUGGAGGCUCGCAGCGGUUCUGACGUGCAAAUCGAUCGUCAAAUCUGCGCAUGGGGGCGAAAGACUAAUCGAACCAUCUAGUAGCUGGU